rnacentral:rRNA from 1 species
CAGUAGUCACGAGUUUGAUCAUGGCUCAGAUUGAACGCUGGCGGCAUGCCUAACACAUGCAAGUCGAACGAGACCUUCGGGUCUAGUGGCGCACGGGUGCGUAACACGUGGGAAUUUGCCUCGGGGUAUGGAAUAACUCAGGGAAACUUGAGCUAAUACCAUAUAAUGUCUUCGGACCAAAGAUUUAUCGCCCUGAGAUAAGCCCGCGUAGGAUUAGCUAGUUGUGGGGUAAAGGCUCACCAAGGCGACGAUCCUUAGCUGGUCUGAGAGGAUGAUCAGCCACACUGGGACUGAGACACGGCCCAGACUCCUACGGGAGGCAGCAGUGGGGGAAUAUUGGACAAUGGGCGAAAGCCUGAUCCAGCAAUGCCGCGUGAGUGAUGAAGGCCUUCGGGUUGUAAAGCUCUUUUACUCGGGACGAUAAUGACGGUACCGAGAGAAUAAGCCCCGGCUAACUCCGUG